rnacentral:rRNA from 1 species
AUGUUUGGACCUGAUCUCUCCAUCGUUGACUGGAAUACCCGCGGGCUAAACGACCAAGGUCGCAAAGACACCGUCCAUGCCUUCCUCGCAGAUACUCGCUGUCAUAUCGCUUGCAUCCAAGAGACCAAGCUCGACCACAUCGAUCAACAAAUGGCUUCUUAUAUCGGCGGUCUUAGUCUUCGCUCCUUCGCUCACCGUCCGGCCAUCGGCACCCGGGGCGGCAUCCUCUUACUCUGGAAUGAGGAUCAUGUGGAGGUCUCCAAUGUUCACCUCAGCACUUACUUGAUCUCGGCUAGCGUCUCCAUUCGCGCAUGUGGUACCUCCUUCAAGCUCACU